rnacentral:rRNA from 1 species
GUGCUUACACAUGCAAGUCGAACGAUGAAGCUGGAGCUUGCUCCGGCGGAUUAGUGGCGAACGGGUGAGUAACACGUGAGCAAUCUGCCCUUGACUCUGGGAUAACUGCGGGAAACUGUAGUUAAUACCGGAUACUUUCCUCGCUGGGCAUCCAGCGGGGAAGAAAGAAUUUCGGUCAAGGAUGAGCUCGCGGCCUAUCAGCUAGUUGGUGAGGUAAUGGCUCACCAAGGCGACGACGGGUAGCCGGCCUGAGAGGGUGACCGGCCACACUGGAACUGAGACACGGUCCAGACUCCUACGGGAGGCAGCAGUGGGGAAUAUUGCACAAUGGGCGAAAGCCUGAUGCAGCAACGCCGCGUGAGGGAUGAAGGCCUUCGGGUUGUAAACCUCUUUUAGCAGGGAAGAAGCGAAAGUGACGGUACCUGCAGAAAAAGCACCGGCUAACUACGUGCCAGCAGCCGCGGUAAUACGUAGGGUGCAAGCGUUGUCCGGAAUUAUUGGGCGUAAAGAGCUCGUAGGCGGUUUGUCACGUCUGCUGUGAAAUUCCGAGGCUCAACCUCGGACUUGCAGUGGGUACGGGCAGGCUAGAGUGCGGUAGGGGAGAAGGGAAUUCCUGGUGUAGCGGUGGAAUGCGCAGAUAUCAGGAGGAACACCAAUGGCGAAGGCACUUCUCUGGGCCGUAACUGACGCUGAGGAGCGAAAGCGUGGGGAGCAAACAGGAUUAGAUACCCUGGUAGUCCACGCCGUAAACGGUGGGUGCUAGCUGUGGGCCACAUUCCACGUGGUCCGUAACGAAGUUAACACAUUAAGCACCCCGCCUGGGGAGUACGGCCGCAAGGCUAAAACUC